GUGAAGAGACAAGUUGAGCCUAUGUACUGGAUUAAUGGCUACUGUUGCUCAUAGCCAUUCUGUGGUCCCACUUCACACAUCUCUCUCGGCCCCAGAGAGCAGAGUUGUGUCAGAUGCACUUAUAGAUUAUGUCAUACACAUGAAUAUCAUAAAUAAGUAUCAGAUGGUAUAGACUCAAGUUUUUUAAAUUCAUAGGAAAUCUCAAGGAAGUUUCAGGCUAGGUGAGGUUUAUUUUCCUGAAAGGAUAUUUAAGCAGUCAGAACCCAGAAUGGAAUAAGUAGAGAAUACGUAGAAAAUUUUGGUCGAAAAAAGAAGGAAAGCCUCUUAUUUGAAAAUGGGAUUGCUAGAAUAUGACAUUUUGCUUGACUCAGUAUUUACUAUUUUUAUUUCACUUGUUUAAUUUUGAAUUCAUAUAAAAUAAAAGUAUUAUUCUUGAGGACAUCUUAUUUAUAAUAAAAAUUUUAUUACAGCUUCAUAAAACUAAAAAAUAGCUCAUGUUCAAACAUGAUGAUGGCCAUGUUCACUCAAGGAAACAAAUUUAAAAGAUAACAUUCUAGCUUUAACUAGCUAGUAUGUGCAACUGUUUUCUUUGAGAGAGAUGAAUGUCCUUGUUUAGAAUUGGGUGACAUUCAUUGCUUUGGAAAAUCCUCCACUUCUUAAAAAAUCGAUGUGUUUUUAAACAUAGCACUGACAGACACAUUUCAAGUCUUUCUAAGGAAAAUACAUAGAAAAUGUGAUUUUAAAAAAAUGAAAUUUUAGCAAUAAAGUUGUCCUAUUCUACUCUUGUGAUUUUGCUAGAAUAUUUACACAUUUUUGAAGUUUGAUGUGCCAAGAGUUUUAAGAAAGUGGUUUAAAUUUUUUCUCCAUAUGAUUAUUUUUAUGGACAAUAUUACUUGAUAUUUGGCAUUGACAGAAUGAUAAGUGAUUAAUAAAGCAAAUACUUGGGUGGUAGUAGAUUGGGAAUUGGGAUUUUAACUUGGUAUGUGAUGACUGAGAUCAAACUUGGAACUGCCUCUCAGGACUUUGGCUCUGAGAGAGCCAGGAAGAAUGGAUGUCUCAUUUCUUAUCUUUACCUGCAGAAGGGAGUUUGUUUUGUUCUGUUUUGGUUUAUUUUUAUUUUAUUAGUAAGUAUUUUAGUGGAGGUUCUGAUUGAUAAAGGGGUGCUUUAUAUAUUAGCCUAUUUAUGAACUUAAAUAAAUAUAUAUAUGGUUAUAUGACUAUAUUAUUAUGGGCUGGAGAGAGAGCCCACUGGUUUUUUUCUUUGUCACCCCACCCCUCUCUCUGCUCUUAAGUGGUCUUUCUUUCUUGUGCUGUUCUCAUGUGAGUUGGGCAUAUCCUAUCUUUGAGUCAUUCUAGUCAUUAUGUAAGAUCUUUCUCUGAUUCAUCACUUUGUGUGCCUCUCAGUUACAUUUUCACUUUCAAACAUGGCUGGUUCCUUUUAUAAACUAACCUUACCUUUAUUGUUAGGGUUUAAAGGUAUGUACUAAGGGCAUGCGAGAUCAUAUAAACUUAGAAGAUCUUUGAAUGGGAUCUCUUGCCAGAGAGGCCAUGUUGCUGGAUUAAAAUUCCUCUACAGCCCAGGCUGUACAGUUGUCUCCUGUCCCUAAUGUUAACUGUGUGUAUGUACUUAUUGUCCUGUGUGUGUGACUUUGGUUCAAAAAUCUCUAACUUUUGGUUUUGGGACUCUUUAGAAUUGUAGAAAUUAUUAAAGACUCCAAAGAGCUUUAAUUAUUUGGGUUAUGCUAUCAAUAAUUCCUUUACUAUGAAUUAAAGUAGAAAAGUUAAAAUAUAUAUUAAGUACUUUUGAAAUAACAAUAAUAAAACUCCAUUAUAGAUCUUUAUCUAAAUAGCAUUCAUUUCAGACC
rnacentral:lncRNA from 1 species